AGAAGCAGCCAUCAUUGAAAGAGUGCGUAAUAGCUCACUGGUCGAGUGACGCUGCGCCGAAAAUAUACCGGGGCUAAACACACCACCGAAGCUGCGGAUUGACAUCUACGAUGUCAGUGGUAGGAGAGCGUUCUAAGGGCAGUGAAGGUCGAUCGUGAGGACGGCUGGAGCGCUUAGAAGUGAGAAUGCCGGUAUGAGUAGCGAAAAAAGAGUGAGAAUCUCUUUCAUCGAAAGCCCAAGGUUUCCUGAGGAAGGCUCGUCCGCUCAGGGUUAGUCGGGGCCUAAGCCGAGGCCGAAAGGCGUAGGCGAUGGAUAACAGGUUGAUAUUCCUGUACCACCUAAAUCCGCUUGAACGAUGGGGGGACGCAGGAGGAUAAGGAAAGCGCGCUGCUGGUUAUGCGCGUCCAAGCCGUGAGGAAGUUGAGCAGGCAAAUCCACUCAACAUUAAUUCCAGGCGGUUAUGGGGAGGGAAAUUUAGUACCGAAGUUCCUGAUUUCACACUGCCAAGAAAAGCCUCUAGUGAGGAAAUAGGUGCCCGUACCGCAAACCGACACAGGUAGGCACGGUGAGUAACCGAAGAUGAUCGCGAGAACUCUCGUUAA
rnacentral:rRNA from 1 species